CCACCACCAAAGCAUUCUCUGGUGUUGAAGGCCCUGCAAAGCAGCAUCGCGGUGGCGGAGCGUCGUUUGCGACGCCCAACACACAAAACAAGCGGUGAGUGCUUUGGGGUGGGGUGACUGCGUACCUUUUGUAUAAUGGGUCAGCGACUUAUAUUCUGUAGCAAGGUUAACCGAAUAGGGGAGCCGGAGGGAAACCGAGUCUUAAUUGGGCGUUAAGUUGCAGGGUAUAGACCCGAAACCCGGUGAUCUAGCCAUGGGCAGGUUGAAGGUUGGGUAACACUAACUGGAGGACCGAACCGACUAAUGUUGAAAAAUUAGCGGAUGACCUGUGGCUGGGGGUGAAAGGCCAAUCAAACCGGGAGAUAGCUGGUUCUCCCCGAAAGCUAUUUAGGUAGCGCCUCGUGAAUUCAUCUCCGGGGGUAGAGCACUGUUUCGGCUAGGGGGCCAUCCCGGCUUACCAACCCGAUGCAAACUGCGAAUACCGGAGAAUGUUAUCACGGGAGACACACGGCGGGUGCUAACGUCCGUCGUGAAGAGGGAAACAACCCAGACCGCCAGCUAAGGUCCCAAAGUCAUGGUUAAGUGGGAAACGAUGUGGGAAGGCCCAGACAGCCAGGAUGUUGGCUUAGAAGCAGCCAUCAUUUAAAGAAAGCGUAAUAGCUCACUGGUCGAGUCGGCCUGCGCGGAAGAUGUAACGGGGCUAAACCAUGCACCGAAGCUGCGGCAGCGACACUCAGGUGUUGUUGGGUAGGGGAGCGUUCUGUAAGCCUGUGAAGGUGGCCUGUGAGGGUUGCUGGAGGUAUCAGAAGUGCGAAUGCUGACAUAAGUAACGAUAAAGCGGGUGAAAAGCCCGCUCGCCGGAAGACCAAGGGUUCCUGUCCAACGUUAAUCGG
rnacentral:rRNA from 1 species